UUUCUUUAGCCCACUGAGCCAAACUGACCAACCUUACAUCUAUCAAUUGCAAACCCCUUUUGAGCUUAAUAAUUCAUUUGAAUUCACUUAUAAAUUUGCCUAGAUUUGAGCCGUCCCGGUCAAAACUAACUUAAGGGCAAAAAAAGGGAGAUAGUGUAGUGGAUCGUAUGGGCAGGACUAGUGCAAAAAUUGCACAAUGGGACUUCUAAAUCCCAAAACAGAAAAAAAAAAAGUCCAGA
rnacentral:lncRNA from 1 species